GAUGAACGCUGGCGGCGUGCCUAAUACAUGCAAGUCGAGCGAACAGACGAGGAGCUUGCUCCUCUGACGUUAGCGGCGGACGGGUGAGUAACACGUGGAUAACCUACCUAUAAGACUGGGAUAACUUGGGGAAACCGGAGCUAAUACCGGAUAAUAUAUUGAACCGCAUGGUUCAAUAGUGAAAGACGGUUUUGCUGUCACUUAUAGAUGGAUCCGCGCCGCAUUAGCUAGUUGGUAAGGUAACGGCUUACCAAGGCAACGAUGCGUAGCCGACCUGAGAGGGUGAUCGGCCACACUGGAACUGAGACACGGUCCAGACUCCUACGGGAGGCAGCAGUAGGGAAUCUUCCGCAAUGGGCGAAAGCUUGACGGAGCAACGCCGCGUGAGUGAUGAAGGUCUUCGGAUCGUAAAACUCUGUUAUUAGGGAAGAACAAAUGUGUAAGUAACUAUGCACGUCUUGACGGUACCUAAUCAGAAAGCCACGGCUAACUACGUG
rnacentral:rRNA from 1 species